rnacentral:tRNA from 18 species
AAGGGGACAGACUGUAAAUCUGUUGGCAUUGCCUUCACAGGUUCGAAUCCUGUACCCCCC